CCUAUGAUCUCAAAUCAGGCGGGACUACCCGCUGAACUUAAGCAUAUCAAUAAGCGGGAGGAAA
rnacentral:rRNA from 1 species